rnacentral:rRNA from 1 species
GUGAGUAACACGUGAGUAACCUGCCCUUGACUUUGGAUAACUUCAGGAAACUGGGGCUAAUACCGGAUAGGAGCUCCUGCUGCAUGGUGGGGGUUGGAAAGUUUCGGCGGUUGGGGAUGGACUCGCGGCUUAUCAGCUUGUUGGUGGGGUAGUGGCUUACCAAGGCUUUGACGGGUAGCCGGCCUGAGAGGGUGACCGGCCACAUUGGGACUGAGAUACGGCCCAG